rnacentral:rRNA from 1 species
AAGUGGAGCAAUCCAUGAGUAAAGUGGCGACCGGGUGAGUAACACGUGACUAACCUACCUUUUAGUGGGGGAUAACCUCGGGAAACCGAGGCUAAUACCGCAUAACAUCGCAAGAUCAAAGCAGCAAUGCGCUGGAAGAGGGGGUCGCGGCUGAUUAGCUAGUUGGCGGGGUAACGGCCCACCAAGGCGAAGAUCGGUAUCCGGCCUGAGAGGGCGCACGGACACACUGGAACUGAAACACGGUCCAGACUCCUACGGGAGGCAGCAGUGGGGAAUUUUGCGCAAUGGGGGAAACCCUGACGCAGCAACGCCGCGUGGAGGAUGAAGCCCCUUGGG